rnacentral:lncRNA from 10 species
ACUUUCUGCAGGGCCUGUGCGGAGAUCCACUGUCUUGUGGCUGCCUGAGACAUGGCUUCUAUUUAUGCUGCUACUUUCGUAUACUUGUUCAUACCAAACGUGAGCACAGAUUCUCCCUGCCAUUCCACCACACUUUACAUGAAGACUCUGAGACAAUAAAAUGUAAAUGCAACAUGGCUUAAAGCUGAAUACAACUGAAAGCUGCUUUGAGUUAGAGCACUCAAGUCCCACUGUAGGAUUCCCUCUAUAAGGUACCCACCUUCUUAGGUGCCAUAUUGCCCUGACCUGCUAAUCUCUUCCCAAUGGGAGGGCCCUUGAUCAGUCAUCACCCUGGAAUCCAGGCUCCUGAAACCUCAUAUUCCAUUCUUUGUUCCUAAGAUAUGACAUAAAUGUGUAGCGUAAAGGAAGGUGAGCUGAGUUAGCAUAUCUAUUAAACUAAUAGUCUGGCUUGGAAAGAAUCAUUUGCAGCACAGGUAAUGAAGACACUACAAUAUGUAGCCUUUUCAAAAAAACUUCAUUGUCUUUGGCUGCUACUUGAAGACUCAUCACUGUACAAAGCACUUGGGAUUUACACUGGCCCACUAGCCCAAUGACUCUAGAGGUUGACAAGGAAACUGAAGUUCCUUCUGUGAAAUGGCUUAGUUCAGGUUCUGUUCCAAAACCCCAAUACUUCUGUGGUAUUUCAGUAUUUACAUAGGACUAGAAUGUUUUUAGUUUCCUAGUGCUUUUUUCUCUUUCUUUCUUUCCUUUUUUUUUUUUUUUUUUUGAGACGGGAGUUUCGCUCUGUCACCCAGGCUGGAGUGCAGUGGUGCAAUCUCGGCUCACUACAGCCUCUGCCUCCCAGGUUCAAGCGAUUCUCUUGCCUCAGGCUCCUGAUUAGCUGGGAUUACAGGCUCCUGCCAUCAUGUCUGGCUAAUUUUUUGUAUUUUUAGUAGAGAUGGGGUUUCACCACAUUGGCCAGGCUGGUCUCAAACUCUUGGCCUCAAGUCGUCUGCCUGCCUCGGCCUCCCAAAGUGCUGGGAUUACUGGUGUGAGCCACUGCAUUGGGUCUCCUGGUGCUUUUCUCUUUUUCUUUUUUUGUUUUUGAGAUGGGAGUCUCACUCUGUUGCCCAGGCUGGAGUGCAGUGACACAAUAUUUGCUCACUGCAACUUCUACCUCCUGGGUUCAAGCGAUUCUCCUGCCUCAGCCUCCCGAGUAGCUGGGAUUACAGGCACUGCCACCACGCCCAGCUACUUUUUUUGUAUCUUUAGUAGAGAUAGCGUUUCACCAUGUUGGCCAGGCUGGUCUUGAACUCCUGACCUCAGACGAUCCACCUGCCUCAGCCUCCUAAAGUGCUGGGAUUACAGGCGUGAGCCACCACGACAAGCCUAGUGCUUUUUUCUUGAUCUAUGCUUUCUAUUUAUCCAUUUCAAUAAAUAAUGGAGGAUUGACCCUAAGGUUACUACAAUGGAUUAUUAUCCCUAUUACUACUACUAUCACCUUAUAUUUAAAACAUUAUCUGAUUAAAAACGGAAACAAAUAGAAAAGACAUAGGAUCCUUCAGUUGCCAGUGACAGAAUCUAUGUGUGAGUUAUCAUCAACUGUCUUUGAGGUAUCAGUACUACCUCCAAUUAAGCAUAGACAAUGGUUUCCAGGGGAAUAUAUAAAGUCAUGAGCAGAGUUUGAAGAAAUGCUCCAAAGUCCCAAACGCUGUCCUUUCUUGUGGGCAAGGAAGUGGGGCCCCAGGGAGGCCUCAAAAGUUUUCUAGGGACUUAAAGUCAAAACAGUGUUCCUCUGAGUACCGGUCAACAAUGCUUUGAAAGCGGAUCUCAAACACACACUCAUUAGAAUGCAGCAGGAAGUGGUUUUAUUGCUGUGAACACAGGGCAAUAAAGCUUGGCAAAAG